GCAUUAGGUUUAAAAUCUAAAAAUAAUAUUAAAAUAUUUUAUAUUA
rnacentral:tRNA from 1 species